GACGAACGCUGGCGGCGUGCUUAACACAUGCAAGUCGAGCGGAAAGGCCCUUCGGGGUACUCGAGCGGCGAACGGGUGAGUAACACGUGAGUAACCUGCCCCAGACUGGGAUAACCCUCGGAAACGGGGGCUAAUACCGGAUACGACACAGCUUCGCAUGGGGUCUGUGUGGAAAGUUUUUCGGUUUGGGAUGGGCUCGCGGCCUAUCAGCUUGUUGGUGGGGUGAUGGCCUACCAAGGCGACGACGGGUAGCCGGCCUGAGAGGGCGACCGGCCACACUGGGACUGAGACACGGCCCAGACUCCUACGGGAGGCAGCAGUGGGGAAUAUUGCACAAUGGGCGGAAGCCUGAUGCAGCGACGCCGCGUGAGGGAUGACGGCCUUCGGGUUGUAAACCUCUUUCAGCAGGGACGAAGCGUAAGUGACGGUACCUGCAGAAGAAGCGCCGGCCAACUACGUG
rnacentral:rRNA from 1 species